CUUUGGGAGUUUUUCAUCUUGUUUUCACCUGUCAAGUGGUUUGUGGGGUCUAAGCUCCUAGCUUCUCACCGACAAUGAUGGCUUGGACACACUGUUCUCAACCAUUCCUUGUGUUUUCAAGUUUUAAGUCAGAAAGGGGAUCUACCUUCUUCAAGAAAAAAAAAAGGAGAUUGACAUGAAAAAUAAUUUAAAAGGCACACAAAAUCCAGGUGUGGUAGUGUACGCCUGCAAAUACAGUUCCUUGGAAAGCAUAGACAAGAGAAUCACAAGUCCAAGGCCUGCUGGAGCUACAGAAUGAUCACCAUGUUUCUUAGUUUCUUCUGGAGGGGGUGUUUUAUGUUUUAUUAGAGUGCACACUUGGGGACCUAGAGAGUCUAAUGGGGAAAAGCUCGGCUUUGCAGAGAUGGCCCAGAGGGUACACCAAACUUAAGGCUCGAGCCUGAUGACCUGAGUUCAGAUCUCCAGAAGCAGACAAAAGACAGACACAUCAGCACCAGCACCUGGAAUCCAAGUGUAUCUGCACGAAGUAGGCAGUGGGGACAGGACCCCCAUUGGGAUUUUCAUUGUAACUGUAUUGAACUUAUCAAUCCCUCAGGUCUUGAAUUGCUAAUGAUAUUAAUUUAGCUGCUUACAAGUACAGGCUUUUUUCCAUUUAUAAAAUCUUAGAUUCUUUGAUAAUUCUUAUUAGAUCCCCACCCCAUGACCUUAAGAUUUAAAUAGCUCCAUUCCUUCCUAGUGACAGAAUGCUGUGACCCUUUCCUAUGCCAUUGUCUAGUUGGAUGGCACUGGUUUGUAGAAUUAUUUUCGGUUUGAACCCAUUUUCAGACACUAUGCCAAGCUAAUUUUUAAAGCACAGUGCUUUUUAUUUCUUAUAUUUGGGGGAUUUUUUUUAAUAACACAUAUAUAGAAAAAAUCAUUUCUGGUCUGGAGACGAUGUUUAGAAAUGGCACCUUGCAAGGGGAAGGAAAAGAAGGAAGAACAAGUCAUCCGCCUUGGACCUCAGGUGGCUGAAGGAGAGAAUGUAUUUGGUGUCUGCCACAUUUUUGCAUCCUUCAGUGAUACCUUUGUCCAUGUUCCCAAUCUUUCUGGCAAGGAAACCAUCUGCUGAGUAACUGGUGGAAUGAAAGUGAAGGCUGACCAAGAUGAGUUCUCUCCAUAUGCAGCCAUGUUGGCUGCACAGGAUUUGGUCCAGAGGUGAAAGGAGCUGGGCAUCACUGCCCUGCAUAUCAAACUCUGGGCCACAGAAGGAAACAGGACCAAGACCUCUGCACCUGGAGCCCAGACAGCCCUCAGAGCUCUUGCUCGCUCUGGGAUGAAGAUUGGGUGGAGUGAGGAUGUCACCCCCAUCCCCUCUGACAGCACUCGAAGGAAG
ensembl:lncRNA